ensembl:misc_RNA 7SK 7SK RNA
GGAUGUGAGAGAGAUCUGGCUGCGACAUCUGUCACCCCAUUGAUCGCCAGGGUUGAUUCGGCUGAUCUGCUGGCUAGGCGGUGUCCCCUUCCUCCCUCACUGCUCCAUGUGCGUCCCUCCCGAAGCUGGGCGCUCGGUGGAACAGGACGGCCUUCCCCGAAUAGAGAGGGACCGGUCUUCAGUGGAGGGUAUACGAGUGGCUGUGCUCCCCUGCUAGAACCUCCAAACAAGCUAUUAAAGUCCAUACAAACAAUAAAGCAUCAAACUCAACAUAAUAACCAACAAGGCACGGCACACAUGCCU